GAGGAGGAGGAGGAGGUAGAAGAAGAAGGAGGUAGAAGGUGGAGGAGGAGGAGAAGGAGGAAGAGGAAGGAGGUAGAAGGUGGAGGAGAAGGAGGUAGAAGAAGGAGGUAGAAGGUGGAGGAGGAGGAGAAGGAGGAGGAGCGCUAAAACCGGAGUAAAACGAAUCGGGCGAUGCCGGUAGCGGUUGAAUUCGGUGCGUCUGCAGUCACGUAGGCGGACUUUACCUCCACAGUGUUUGCGUAUCUUGGAAGAAAACACGUCUUUAUGUGGAAGAAAGUCAGACGUGAUGGAACUGGCAUUCAGUAAAUAGAGACAUUCACUGACCAUGAGUUAAAAGAAGACGAAUAAGAGACAUUCACUGACCACCGCACGUAAAGUGUUACGUGUUCAAAAAAAAAAAGACAGAAAAAAAGGCCAGAUAUUAAAUGUAAUGAAAUGAAGGGAAACUAAUAAUGCCGCAGCUUUGGCCUGAAGAGCCUCCUGAUCAUUUUACAGGGUAAUAAAAUAAAUUCAUGACUUUUUCCCCCCAAACACCAUCAAUUGUCGUCUCUCCCACGAGGAUUUCCAGGAACCCUGUUUACUGUUACCGCGAGACACUGGAGAUCCUCAGACCCUGCUCCUGCCCUGCCGAUGGAUGAGACCGUCAUUAAUUAGGGGAGAUCAGCCCAGGAGCUCACGGUCCGAUUUGCUGGGGUUUUUGGAAUCCUAAGUCGGAUUCAUUACACGGUUUAGCACUCCCAGCACCACAGCACGUCUCCGUCUCGCUCCUGCUCCGGAUAGCCCUUAUCCUUCUCUCCUCUUCAGGUUAUACAUUUCACAUCUCCUCCAUCUCCGUGUGCCGAUGAGACACCAGAGCGACGCGAGCACUUGGAAACAUCCACCGCCUCAGCUCAACUCGACAUCGUAUUCAGAAUCAAUCACGUAAGACGCGAUCGUCUUGUUUCAGCUAUCCAAACAGAAGCCGAGAUCCCACUUAUCCCCAAAUAAACCCAAGGGCGGGUCUUUCUUUAGCUGGCAUUAGGGCUCGGGAACAGCUGUACUCGCUGACCACAAUCCCCGCUCAUCAAUAAGGUGAGAACCGGACCCGUUACGAACCCAAAUAUUCUCCAGUUUCGCGAUCGGUCACGGUUAGCGAUCGCGCUAGACGCGUACCGUGCCCGAGUCCAACCGAACCGCUCCCGGGCGUCCGAAAUAAACCGCACCCCUGCGCAAUAUAAAUAGACCUGCGAGACCUAGCAAAGCCUUCAACGAUCGGAUCUUCCGAUUAGCAGUCCGGCGUCUUGACUGCUACGCUAGCACGGCCAUGUUUACGUCUAACCGGCUGCUACUGGAGAGCGAGACACGCCCCCGGGGGCGGGACAUCUGCAGUAUGUUCUAGAGAGCGUUCUUUUGGGAAAAAACACAAGAC
ensembl:lncRNA